GUAAGCAGAGGAAGAGAGCUGGAAAGCUCCGCCAAAGCGGGUGAUAGCCCCGUACUCGAACCUGAAAGAGACGCAGCCGGCACCUGAGUACCGCGAGGCACGUGAAACCUCGUGGGAAUCCGGGAGGACCAUCUUCCAAGGCUAAGUACUCACCGACGACCGAUAGUGCACCAGUACCGUGAGGGAAAGGUGAAAAGAACCUCUGUAAGAGGAGU
rnacentral:rRNA from 16 species